rnacentral:rRNA from 1 species
AGGAUUAACGCUGGCGGCGUGCCUAAUACAUGCAAGUCGAGCGCACCUUCGGGUGAGCGGCGGACGGCUGAGUAACACGUUGGUACCUGCCCCGAACUCGGGGAUACCCCCGGGAAACCGGGACUAAUACCCGAUAGUUCUCUACGGAGUAAAGAUUUAUCGGUUCGGGAGGGGCCUGCGCCCGAUUAGCUUGUUGGUGAGGUAACGGCUCACCAAGGCAAUGAUCGGUAGGUGGUCUGAGAGGACGAUCACCCAGACUGGGACUGAGACACGGCCCAGACUCCUACGGGAGGCAGCAGUCGGGAAUUUUGCGCAAUGGACGAAAGUCUGACGCAGCAACGCCGCGUGAGGGAUGACGGCCUUCGGGUUGUAAACCUCUUUUGUCAGGGACGAUGAUGACGGUACCUGACGAAUAAGUCACGGCUAACUACGUGCCAGCAGCCGC